rnacentral:rRNA from 1 species
AGGACGAACGCUGGCGGCGUGCUUAACACAUGCAAGUCGAGCGGUAAGGCCUUUCGGGGUACACGAGCGGCGAACGGGUGAGUAACACGUGGGUGAUCUGCCCUGCACUCUGGGAUAAGCCUGGGAAACUGGGUCUAAUACCGGAUAUGACCUGCUCUCGCAGUGGGGGUGGGUAGGAAAGUA